rnacentral:rRNA from 1 species
UACGAAGGGGCUAGCGUUGCUCGGAAUUACUGGGCGUAAAGCGCACGUAGGCGGCUUUCUAAGUCGGGGUGAAAUCCUGGAGCUCAACUCCAGACUGCCUUCGAUACUGGAGAGCUCGAGUCCGGGAGAGGUGAGUGGAACUGCGAGUGUAGAGGUGAAAUUCGUAGAUAUUCGCAAGAACACCAGUGGCGAAGGCGGCUCACUGGCCCGGUACUGACGCUGAGGUGCGAAAGCGUGGGAGCGAACAGG